rnacentral:rRNA from 1 species
UACGUAGGGGGCAAGCGUUAUCCGGAUUUACUGGGUGUAAAGGGAGCGUAGACGGCGAUGCAAGUCUAAAGUGAAAGCCCGGGGCUCAACCCCGGGACUGCUUUGGAAACUGUAUGGCUGGAGUGCUGGAGAGGCAAGCGGAAUUCCUAGUGUAGCGGUGAAAUGCGUAGAUAUUAGGAAGAACACCAGUGGCGAAGGCGGCUUGCUGGACAGUAACUGACGUUGAGGCUCGAAAGCGUGGGGAGCAAACAGG